rnacentral:misc_RNA from 1 species
GAUGAAGAACGUAGCGAAAUGCGAUAAGUAAUGUGAAUUGCAGAAUUCAGUGAAUCAUCGAAUCUUUGAACGCACAUUGCGCCCGCCAGCAUUCUGGCGGGCAUGCCUGUUCGAGCGUCAUUUCAACCCUCGAGCCCCCCCGGGGGCCUCGGUGUUGGGGGACGGCACACCAGCCGCCCCCGAAAUGCAGUGGCGACCUCGCCGCAGCCUCCCCUGCGUAGUAGCACACACCUCGCACCGGAGCGCGGAGACGGUCACGCCGUAAAACGCCCAACUUCUUAGAGUUGACCUCGGAUCAGGUAGGAAUACCCGCUGAACUUAAGCAUAUCAAUAAGCGGAGG